rnacentral:rRNA from 1 species
UACGUAGGGUGCGAGCGUUUAAUCGGAAUUACUGGGCGUAAAGCGUGCGCAGGCGGUUUUGCAAGACAGAUGUGAAAUCCCCGGGCUUAACCUGGGAACUGCAUUUGUGACUGCAAGGCUAGAGUGUGUCAGAGGGAGGUGGAAUUCCGCGUGUAGCAGUGAAAUGCGUAGAGAUGCGGAGGAACACCGAUGGCGAAGGCAGCCUCCUGGGAUAACACUGACGCUCAUGCACGAAAGCGUGGGGAGCAAACGAGG